ensembl:lncRNA
UACAAUGAGGAGGCCCGAGGAGGCGGAGAAGGAAAAGGCGGGAAAACGCCUCAGCCGCAGGAAGCGGAAACGAAGGUUGCCUCGACGCCGAUGGAUCACAGGAGGUGAAAGAGAGACGCGCGAGACUUAAAAAAAAAACAGACGAGUCACGUGGUACGCGGGAGCCAAUCCAAGAUGAGGACAGAGGAAAAAACAGCGCCUGGGAGCAGAAUCACAUGGGCUUCGAAGAACCAAUCGGAACUAGGAAGAUUUCCGGGCGCCAAUCAGAGUAAGACAGAGAAAUAUUUACUAGGCAGACUGUGACGCUGAGUUCGGGGGGAAAAAAGGUGAGCCCGCUGAGCCAAUCGUAAUCAAGCAGUUCUGCGCGAGCCAAUCAGAGAUAGAAAGAGCCGCGGCUGGAGAAAAACAACGCACAAUAUGAGGCUGAGCGAGCGAAACAGAUGGGGCGGGGCUCUGACGUCACGCUCGUGGGUGUGACCAAAGCGUAGGGAGGACGGUUUGGUUUUCUCGCUCCCUCAUAAGUUCCGCUUCCGGUUUGAAGCGGAAAAGGAACACACGGUGAGGGGACUGGUUGCCUAGCUGUCGCGGGAAAGGCACGAUGGAGCUGCGGGCGGAGCUGACAGGCCGCGGAGGGGAGAAGCGGCCUCUGCGGGUCCCUUGCGAGCCGCCGGGGGAGCUGCGGGGCCUCCUCGGGGGCUUGGCCCGCCUUCGGGAGGAAGUCAGCGCCCUCCUCAGCCCCCUGGUCCAACAGGAGAGCCGCGCCGGAGGAGGAGACCCUGCCGAGGAUGCAGGUGAUGAAGAUGAGGAUGAAGAUGAGGAAGAGAAUCACGUGAAUGCCAACCCAUGUCCUGACGGACCACCGCUAAAACGUACAAAAAUGCACUCCUGACGAAAGCUAAGCAUCUUUUUUUAAAGCCUUGGGACCAUUUUCCUCCACAAAGAGUUCUGGUCUAUUUUGAUAACUAGAUACAUACCCAGAUUUGUAUUGUUUUAUCAUUAAUUUAAUAAUAACUUAAUGAUGUAAAGGGAAAUGUAUUUUAUUUGUGAAUAUUGUCUAACAUUUCUAAACAAUUAAAGUGUGUGUGUUUGUAAGACUGAUUUUUUAAACAUGUUGAUUAUGAAAAAAUUCUUAACUUCAAGAAUAUUUUAGCACAUAGCAUUCACACCAUGGAAAAUCUGAAAAGCAGCUAGCCUUCUUCCAAGUUUUGAGUGGCGGAGUUGAGCAAGGAUCACUCAGGCCCCUUCCACACAGCUGAAAAAAAUCGCACAUUUUCUGUUUUGAACUGGAAUAUAUGGCAGUGUAGACUCAGAUAACCCAGUUCAAAACAGAUAUUCUGGGUUAUAUGGCUGUGUGGAAGGGCCCUCAUGUAUAAUGUGUGUGUGUCCCUCUACAUGGCUAAGGUUUUAGUAUUAUCUUUACCUUUCCUGCUAUGGAAAAAGGCAAAUGGAAAGAGGAUUUUCACUCCUCCCUUCAGUCUUUCUCUGAGGAAUGACCAGAUUCAGUGAGGGGUCAUUGGGUUCUGCUGCUUUUCUCAGCCCUGAAUUGCAGAUUGUAAUUUAAAAACAAUGAAAUUUAGAUUUAGGUCCAUGUAAGGGAGCUGAGAGAAGAAGUCUUCCUUGGCCCUCCUCCCCACAACAGCUCUUGAAAGUACUGCAUAGUUUGGAAUGCAGUACCAUAUUUUCCAGCAUAUAAGACAACUGGGCGUAUAAAGACAGCCCCAAACCUUUCCAGUUAAAUAUAGUUUGCUAUAUGCUCUCUGUAUUAGACUACCCCUCUUCCAUCACACAUCAAAUAAAAGACUUAUCAGAGUGGUAGCACAAACACGCCUCUUUCACCCGUCUAGCCUGCCCUUGUAUCCUAUUACUGUACCUCCUUCUGCCUCUCAGAUCUCGCAUGUGCGCCUGCCCCACUUCACUGCAGUCCUCAGGAGCGAGAACUGAGAGGCAGAGAAGGAGGUAUGGUAAUAGAAUACAAGGACGGACCAGAUGGGUGAAAGAGGCAUGUUUUUCUGGGUACAGCGCCACUCUAUCUUUUUUCCAUACCCUGGGCUUCCCAGACUCCUGCAUCUUGCUCCGCCCUUCACUUAUACCUUCCCAGUGAGGCGCCCCCUCACCUUGUCAUCGGGACUGUGUUAAGUCACGUCUUUCCACGAAUCCUGGUAAGUGGAUUUUCUUCUACCAUACUGGUACAGCACUGCCCUUGCUGCUUUCAUAUGGUUGCCGCAUAUGGCAGGAAUGUGGAUGCAGCCAUUUUUGAGCUGCCCCCACCAUAUUGGGCGACCACAAAUUCUCCAGUCCGGCUUGAAAGUUUCAGGACCUGCCCUAUAAGACUCCCGACUUUUGAGAUUUUCCUGGGUUAAAAAGUAGUCUUAUAUGCCAGAAAAUACAGUACUUUCAAUAGUUUGGAAUGGUGCUAUGUACAAUGCAAUGAUAUCACAUUAUUUUAAACUCGAUCAAAAGUAGGCAACCAACAUUAUUUGUAGUUGCUUGAAAUUCAUUUUUUUAAUUUAUAUGCUCAUCUCCUCCAGGGGGACCCAUUUUUCUAUCUUUGUUGUUUGCAACUUCUCUUUGGUGCCAUUACAGUAUCCAACAGUGACAGAAUAACAGCAUAAUGGUGAUUUG